GUGUCAGCCGCCGCGGUAAUACGUAGGGUGCGAGCGUUAAUCGGAAUUACUGGGCGUAAAGCGUGCGCAGGCGGUUGUGUAAGACAGGUGUGAAAUCCCCGGGCUCAACCUGGGAACUGCGCUUGUGACUGCACGGCUAGAGUACGGCAGAGGGGGGUGGAAUUCCUGGUGUAGCAGUGAAAUGCGUAGAUAUCAGGAGGAACAUCGAUGGCGAAGGCAGCCCCCUGGGCCGAUACUGACGCUCAUGCACGAAAGCGUGGGGAGCAAACAGGAUUAGAUACCCUCGUAGUCC
rnacentral:rRNA from 1 species